AAAGAUUUAGUUUAAUUAUAGAAUUGCUGACUUCCAAUCAGAGGGUUAUAGUCUUUU
rnacentral:tRNA from 1 species